rnacentral:lncRNA from 1 species
CAUGAUGUUAUAUUAGCGUGAACUUCUCACAAAAAUUAAACGGACACAAAAGAUAACAAAACCAUCGCUGUUUGUACACAAGAAAAACAUAUUUUGACAUGUUUUGGCCAUAUGAUAAGAUGUUUGGCCAUAUGGUAAGAUGUUGGACAUUAGAGUUGGACUGCGGUAGGCGGGUUUGUUGAACGGGCGCACAUGGCCAGAACAGAGAAACCACGGGUUGAGGCAACACACUGGCGGCGAUGGCGGUUGGGCCGCUGACGAGAGGAAGCUCAUGCGGUGGCUGCGACGAGCUUGUGGAGAGAGGUGUGCAUGAGCGUGGGCUCCAUUUUCAGCUGUGCUUCCCUUGUUGUCGCUGCUCACCUAGAGCUUCACUCAGUCAAAGAGCGGAGACCUGAAGUUCAGACCCCAUAAGCCAAUACAGAAACAUUUUUUUGUAGUUAAUUUUUUGGGCAAAUUCAAAGAAGUUCAAAUCCUAAAGAAGAGACAGAGAUUAUUGAAGACAGAGAGAGAUCAGGGAGAGGGAGGGAGAGGAAAUACCUGCAACAUCGGUGUUCGUCGUCGUGGUCAGAGUUCAGUGGGGCACCGGUGCGUGGUGGAGGCAGGUAGCGUCGGGA